rnacentral:lncRNA from 1 species
UGACGUACAAAAACGAACUAUGACGUACAUAGUUUUGUACGUUAUAAUAAAUUUACAAAUUUUAUUCCUAUUAUAACGUAUUAUAACAUACAAAAUUAUGUACGUCAUAAAAAAUUUCAAAUAAUCAAUUAUGUUUAAUAAUAAUUUAUUAUACUGAUUCACAAAUUUUCGAAGUUACAUGAAGAACGUAUUAAGCUAUCAUUGACUUAGUUAUUUUGAAACCAAGGAGUAUAAUCCUCGAAAUUAACUAAUCUUUUUCUUCAUUUUUCUAAUAACUCAAGUUAAAUAGAUUAGAUCGGCUUUUCUUGAAAUUGUCUUAUUUUAGGUAACAGCUUUAAAAAAAAAUUAUACAUUUUCUAAUUCGGUUUCACCAAAUCUAGUUCUAAAAUUAUACAUAUUACAACAAACUUAAAUCAAUAGAAAUACACAUUUUUUUUAUUAUAACUAUUGUGAGUCAUGUUAUAGGAAUGAUUUUUUCCAAGCCAAAUUAUGAAUAGAAAUUUAAAUGAAAACACAUAAGAAAUUUUACAUAAUGUGACACCUUAAGACUUACAUUUAUGAAUAUUCAACAAAAAUAUUAUUGGCAAAAAUUGCAAAUUUUCAUACAAUUUUUCUAGCAAAUACUGUAAAUCAUUUCAUGACUGACAAAAUUCACAAAGCAUCUCAUACAAUUUUUCUACAAAAAUUACAAAAUUUCUCAUAAAAAUUUUCUAAACAAAAUUGUAAACCCUCUUAUGACACAAAAUUAUCUAAGUCCUUUGUUGAGUUGUGAUGAUAACUCGAAAUUUAACUUUUUAUUAUUUUAAUAUUUUUAUGUUACUCUCUUCUUCUUAUUAUUUGAGAUUUUUAUGAAUAUCCAUUUGAUAACCAACAUAUCUUUCUUUCAUCUAAAGUCUUGCAUGCUAUGAAACAAACAUUUAACACUCUUAUCACAGUUAUCUACAUGACACAUUGACACUAAUAAUUUACAUGAUUCAUUGACGACGAUAAUUUUUCCUUGUCACCAACCAUCACCAACUUGCACUUCGAAUUGGCAACUCGUUAGUGGAAUCUCAUAGAAUUUUUCUAACUAAAAUUACAAACCAUCUCAUGUAAUUUUUUUUUGGCAAAAAUUGAAAAUCUU